UGAUGACACUGAGCACGAUGCACUCAGACUUUCUACAACCCAGGAAAGCGUAAGAGCAGCCAGGUGGCCGGAAACUCCUGAGGUCAGCUAACUCUCAGAGUGACUUCCCAUACUGACAGAAGCAGUCUGUCUGCGUGUGGCUGACCCAAAGCGAGCAAAGCUGCCACCUUGGCUGACGCUCCGCGGCUCAACCGAGACCCCCCUGCCACUCAGGCCAAGGAAAGACAGAAACACAGAGCUCCCGAGGUCUCAGCUGGGAUAUCAGAGUCCUGCUGGGAGCCCAGCAGUCACUUGUCAUCUAUGGAGUGGCUUUGUCAUACGCACUGCUGGGAAAGAAAUCUGUCAGACUUGUAUAUCAACACCACUUCAGCCAGCUUCUCCUGCUGCCAUUCUCUUUGGGAUUUACUGGUGCAGCAAGACCUUGUAUCACAGUGGUGCAUUUUACAGCCCUUUUGGAAGUCCUCCGUAUAUCAAGGGAAAAUCUGGAUUUAGGGAUAUACCUGUAUUAGUUUUGAACACCACUAUGAAGUAAGGAGGAGGGAAAAAUUAAGCCAACAGAAAAAAUAAGGAUUAGGGAAGACCUCAAAUGUGAAUAUCGAUCAAGAUAAACACUUGCACAAGUGAAGUCUGCUGUAGGUGAAGUAUUUGCCUAGGUGUAGAAACUAUUGCCAAUUCAUGUUUUUUACUGCCUGUUGGUUGCUUUGACUGGAGUAUGAGUUUCACAUGCCUGACAGACAUACUGAAACCAAUUGCCUGAUUUUGCCUGAUACACCUGUGUACUUGUCUGCAGCUGAGACUGAAGACUGACAGGUGACAUCCUCAGGGUGUGACCUGUUUCAACGUCCCACCACAGAAAUAAAUCCCGUUUGUACCCCAUAACCCACAGAGCUGAUUCUGUCUGAGGCUGACCACCAUCCAAGGAAGAUAUCCCAUCCUGUGUUCUAUGCUCUGCUGCCCUGUUGUGCAGGUGCACAGUCCAGCUCCUUCUGGGCUUUGUUUUCAAGGAAAUCCCUUCCAUGGUGGGCAUGGCAGGAUGGGCUGGGGAUCACAUUUCUUCUGGUUUUCCUGUUAUCCAUGCCAGUUCAGCCUGGCUGAAAUGCAGCAGUAGCACUUCCAUUCCUUCUAGGGCUACUUCAUAGACCCUCAGGGAGAAAAUUAUUUGUGCAUCACAUGGUGCAUAAUAAUCACUGCCAAGUACCUCUGAGGGGACAGUUCCACCCAAGGAUCUCCUCUUGCUGGUGUCUCUUUGUAAGAAUGUGCAGAACGGGUGCAGCAAUUCAGAUUCACAACCUGCCUGAAUGUUUAAGUAAAGACAACUCAUUCCAUAUGUUUUCUCAUAUGCUUCCUGUGUAAAAUGUUAGUUGCAAUGUGGUUUAGACUUCCUGAACAGACCAGCUAACACAAAAUUUUCU